CUCUGUGACUCCUACGGGAGGCAGCAGUGGGGAAUAUUGCACAAUGGGGGAAACCCUGAUGCAGCCAUGCCGCGUGUGUGAAGAAGGCCUUCGGGUUGUAAAGCACUUUCAGUAGGGAGGAAGGUAGUGUAGUUAACACCUGCAUUAUUUGACGUUACCUACAGAAGAAGCACCGGCUAACUCCGUGCCAGCAGCCGCGGUAAUACGGAGGGUGCGAGCGUUAAUCGGAAUUACUGGGCGUAAAGCGCAUGCAGGCGGCCUGUUAAGUCAGAUGUGAAAGCCCCGGGGCUUAACCUCGGAAUUGCAUUUGAAACUGGCAGGCUAGAGUCUUGUAGAGGGGGUAGAAUUUCAGGUGUAGCGGUGAAAUGCGUAGAGAUCUGAAGGAAUACCAGUGGCGAAGGCGGCCCCCUGGACAAAGACUGACGCUCAGAUGCGAAAGCGUGGGGAGCCAAACAGGAUUAGAUACCCUGGUAG
rnacentral:rRNA from 1 species